rnacentral:lncRNA from 1 species
UGGAGUCUCACUUUUGCCGAGGCUGUAGUGCAAUGGCGCCAUCUCAGCUCACUGCAACCUCCGCCUCCCAGGUUCAAGCAAUUCCCCCGUCUCAGCCUCCCAAGUAGCUGGGAUUACAGGCACGCGCCACCAUGCCCAGGGUCUUGCUCUGCGGCUCAGGCUGCAGUGCAGUGGCUCGAUCACGGCUCACUGCAGCCUCGACCUCCCGGGCUCACGUGAUCUCCCAUCUCAGCCUCCUGAGUAACCAGAACCACAGGUGCUCACCACCAUGCCCAGCUGACUUUUUGUAUUUUUUGUAGAGAUGGGGUUUACCCAUGUUGCUCAGGCUGGUCUCAAAUUUUCGAGCUCAAGUGAUCCGCCCGCCUUGGCCUCCCAAAAGGCAUGAGCCACUGCGCCUGACCUACGAUUUCUUUCUUUAUAUAUCAGUAUGAACGCAAGGGCUGUUUGUUGGAUUCUGUGAGUCAUAAUCUGAUACUGUUUCCACGCUUUGGCCAUUGGGAGCUCCUGGAGAUUGUCUCCUGUGCCCUAUCCUUAUUUAAGCACUUGUUUAUUUUGGGAUGUCUUCAGUUUUCCUUGUCCCAGCUCUGCACCCAGCUGCUUCUCCAGGGAGCCCUCCCUCACUGGAGACUGGGAUUUAGCAACCAAGACCUGGGCACUGGCUGUGCUUGUUGCUUCUGGGCCCUCCUGGGACAGAGCUGGGAAGUGGAUCUAUGACACGUGCUUGUGCAUUUACCCGCCCUGUUGGUUUCUGUAGCUGUCUAGUUCCUGCUGUUCCUGUCUCACCUGCCCCUUUCCUUAUGUGUAGUUUCUUCCUGUGACAGGGAGAAACCUGGCUCUCAGAUUGACAGGACAUUCGCUUAGGCCAUGUCAGUGCUGUAGGUGAACUGUUCAACCUGUGCCCCAGGGAGGCGCAGUCACUAUGGAGGCACCUUACUUCCUUAAUCGUGUACUGUUGUUUUUGUGUUUGACCUGUAGCAUCUAAGUACUGGUUUCAAAAGUUGCCUAGAUGAGUUCUUUUCUUUCUUUCCACCUCCUGCAAAUUAUGUGAUUUGCAUAAUUUGUACAUAGUUAGGUUCAUUUGUUAGUUUGUAUUCCUUUUGGCUUCCCCCAUAUCCUCGUUGACUUUUUCUUUCUUUUGUAACUUACAUAUGUUAUGAAAUUUAUAUGAGGAUAUAUAAUUUUCAUAAAUGUUUAUGGUUUACAUGUAUUAGUUGUUAUUAUUAAGAUCACCCUGGGAUUGACUGGCCAAGCAUUUGGUGGAAGAUAGCAAUAAAUAAUACAUCAUAAAAGACUUUAAUGUAAAAAUAAAGCCAUGAAAGUACCAAGAAAUAAAUCUUCUCAUUUUAAUUACAUCAGCUUGUCUGUGAUCAUGUAGCCUAAGGUAGGCCAGAGUUAAUUUUUGUGUUAUCUAUACACGUUAUUGAAGCGAAUUAUAAAAUGUUUUAGCAUGUUAAUUACUUGUAAAUUAAUAUCUACAUAUAAAAAUGUGAGCAUAUAUUCUAUUUAGUAUAUUAAUCCUUCAUAAACAAGUAAUGCAAGUUAGUAUUAAUGAUAUCUUAAGACUUAACAUUCCUUUUUUAGUUUGUGUUGAAUAAAUGAACAUCUAAGAGUUCAUGAUGAUGCUUAAGGAAAGAAGCCUCAUGUUUACCUUUGGAAGUUGUAAGGCACUGACUCAUAAAAAUUGGCAAAUAAAAGGAAAGAAUCGGGCAUUU